AUUACAUAUUACAUAAUAUUUUACAUGUUACAUUAUUCGUGUUACAUUAAGUGUAACAUGUUACAAAUUACGUGUGCCAUGUACAAAACAAGUGGCAUGUUCCUUAUCACAUGUUAUAUGCUACAUGUUACGUGUUACAUGAUAGUAUUACAUCGAUUUAUGUACAUAGACCACUCUGUUCCGAAACAAAACGGCCAUUCUGUUUCGGACGAAUUUUCAACACGGAAUAAAUCAGCUUUAAAAUUCGAUUUUCCGAUAUUUUCUUAAUCUCCCAACUUCAGCUUCUUGAGUAGAUGCGGUUUAUACAAAAAGCUCAUUUUCGAAAAAAAUGGUCUUUAGACCACUCUGUUCCGCAACGGCUCAAAUGACAAUGACAGCUCCUUUUGAGCUUAUAGCAAAACUGGCAGUAUGUGACGUACUCGAAAAUAGCGAAAAUCGCUCGAAUCGAGCUGCACAAUGCCACCCCAGGUUUUUUUUUAAAUAUUACUGAGUACAAUUCGUGCCUUCCUGACAGAACCGCACCACUGGAAAGGACAUCCCCUAUCGUGAACUAACGAAAAAGUCGCGAUUGAAGAUGAGACCAUGAUAAUUAUUAGUCAAAAUCUCGAUCAUGCAAGUGACAAAUUUUAGGGACCUAUUGCAAAAACUCGGACUCUUCUACGCAAAAUUCAUCAAACGGUAGGUUUAUCAGGGUCUGCCACAAAAGAUUAUUAAUAUAAUGGUCGCAGUGGCUCUUUUAGUCCCAAUGCCCUUCAGGCAUAAAAAAAGGGUUCAUCAGAGCAACGAAUAAUUGUUUGCAUGCUUUUGUUAGUGAAAGUUUCCAAAAAACAAUCUUAUCAUGUCCCUUUUUUGAACCCAUUUGUUCCGUUUUGAUCCAGAGAAAAUCUGGUCAGCCUACAUCUGAUCGAAUAUUUUUCACUGGGAUUCCAGAGUUGCGCUCAUCCACGUUGCUUGUUUGUACUGAAUUAAGAAAAUAAACUUCAUUCGAAUCGGAGUAUCGGGUAUACGUUUCUCAUUUUCGCCCGAAUCCAUUUGACCGUAUUGUUGAUAUGAAACAUUACCAGGGUGGCGAAAAAGUUUUUAUAUAGCUUUUUAUAUCGGAAGCCUCGAAAUCCACAAAAACCCGCGAAAUGCGGCGAAAGUAAUGAAAAACAGCAACAUUGUAUGUCAAUCAUAAAACAUUUCGAUUUAAAAACUGUGAAAUUCAUGAAAACAAUUAACACGGGAACUUCGAUGGCAACGAGAGGUUUUUUCCUACGCAACCAAUAAGAUGAAACAGUACUACUGCUCUCUUAUAACGCGAUUUUGUCGGUUUGAGUUGAAUUGUUUUCGGACGUGUUUUAUUCUCAUAUAUUCAAACUACAGAAUGUCUUUUAAAAGAUUUGGAUUUAUUCGAUGUUACUCUUUGAACUGCUAAUGAGAGAAUGAAUGGGUCGUACAGAAUUGAUGCCAGCCAAACAGGUAGCGUUUUAUCUCUUACAUAGACGAGGGGUUAUUGAAUACCGAAACAUCCUCCCUACUAAAACAACAAAAGCUAUUCCAAACAAUAGUCUUUAUAUCUAGCUGGAACACGAAUUUCUCUUUUAGGUUUUGUAUUAGAUAUCUUGUCAGACUUUUGUGAAACACGUGCACCUGCUUCAAUAAAAGGUGAUGUGGUAACACAUGAUGACAACUCUGUGAACGAACUCGACGGUAUGGAUGGCGAUGCAAUCACAGUAGGCUGCGGUGAAAAUUUUCCGAUUGACUGUCAUUAUUGUUCUCACUGUUGACGGGAGUUCUCUCACAUUCGGAUCUCUGUGUCACAGCUUCAAGUGAAGGAGUUCCUGACGGCGGAAUUUGGUCGAGCGUACUGUUGAAUUCUUUACGCGGCUUCAAAUGCACCAAGCUUCGUCGAUAGUCUACACCUUCCACAUUUACUUGAUAGGAUCGGUCGUUAAAGCGGUUUGAAACUUUUCCAGGAGUCCGCUGUUUGGAUUUUUCCGGAUGUAAUUGGACAUACACAGGACUUUCGGUUCAGUUCUAUUGCCGCAGGAACAUCUCUGAUAACGUUUGGAAAUAGGCGCAUUGCCGACGACGGUACUCCACAACGCGUAGAGCGCGAAAAUAAACGAGCUGCUGCACUUGAUCCAAUCUUAUUUGGAAUAUUCCUCCAAUGCAGGAGUGCGUAACAAAAGUCAACUGAUUCGUUUGCCUUUUUAAGCAACUGCUUUGCAAUUUUCACGGCAGCCUCCGAUUUACCGUUGGCUUGUUGAUGAAGUUACCAGCUCACAUAGGCGUAGCCAGAGGGGGGCAGGGGGGGGGGGCGUCCCCCCCCCCUAAAUGUUGACAUUGGUGCAGAAUUAUGUUUUCAAUAACUCUAAUAGCACAAAACGACAUCUUUAGCCCAUAGAAACAUCUGUGUAAAGUAUCAGCCAGAUCAAAAACAAUUGAUUGAAAUGCUUGCCCUAUGUUGCGUGUAAUUGCACAGGUUUUUCAGUUGAUCCACCAAGGAUAUUGCAGCGGCAAAAGUACCUGGCAAAUCUGCCUGCAUCAACUAGCUUGGAGUAUUGGAACCGACCUGUGACAAUUCCUUACCUUGAUUCUCUUGUAACCUCAUUGGAAACACGGUUCGAUGAAGAUAGUGCACCUGCCUAUGCGUUGUCCUUGCUGCAUCCCGCUAACGUAAUACGCAUGUUGUUGGAAAAGAUCAAGCACAAAACCGAAAAUUUCGUAAUUUUCUAUGAAGUUGACAAUUCUGUUGGAGAGGUGGAAGUUUUGUAUUAACAUUGCAGCAGUAUGAGAGCAGACCGUAAGAACUUGGAAGAGUUGGAUCUUAUAGACCUGCUAGCUAAAGCCCGUUCUUUCUUCCCUGCGACUUAGAAAGCAGUUGAAAUUGCACUUGGUCUACCAUGGAAACAUGCACGAUUGAACGCUCGUUCAACACAUUACGUCGGGUGAAAACCUGGCUGAGGUCAACAAUAUUUGAACAGUGGUUGAGUGCUUUCUGCUUGCUGAGUGUUCUUCGGCAGAUGGCCAACAACAAUCGUGAAAAGACACAUGAACCGCUUCCGGGACGUUUGAUGCCCGAAGAUUUUAUUGAGAAUCUUGACUGUGCCUUCAAUCUUCACGAGCUUGAGAAGAUUUGACAGGAUGUAGCUGAGAUAGCAGCUGUGCGAAUGGGAGUCCAGCUUCCAGAGAAGUAAACGUUCCUUCGCCGCAUUAUUCAGCUGGCCUGCAUCGUUCUCGAAGAGGUGCUGGCAGCGGUUAAACAACAACGUCCGAACGUAACUCCGUUUUCUUCGUCGAAGACAAACUCGAUGAUAUUCGAAGCGAGGGACUCCAAAAUCUGCUCCGGGGUUUGAUACUGACGCUGCUGCUGCUGAACCGCUAUCCGCUGUAAAAUUUGGGCCAUCUUGUGAAUCAUCUCUUGAAUUCCCGGUUGCAGCUGCUGAUCAACUCUAUCUUCUGCCAUGUUCGUGGAUUCUUGAGAUCCUCGUCGCCAAAAUAAAGAAGUAGUAGAGAAUAUCUAUUUAUAUUCGAGGUUGGACAAAGAAUAAUCAAAUUUUCCACUCUGGUGUCAAGGACAACUUUUCACUGGUUGCCUUGCCGUUACAAUCACUAAAGACCAGCGAUGGAAGAAAAUCGUUUCUAGCGAUUUUUGAAUACAUAUAUAUCUCCUUUGUGAUGCAUUAACAUCGCUGUCAGUGUGCGAUAUACAUUUAUUCUUCUCACAUUUGCAAGCAGAUCUAUGUGUAAGACGAGUUACGAGGAUUGCAAAGGAGCACCAUGUAUAUAGUAUCCCUGCUGGCGUCCUCUCUUUCGCUUCCUUCGCACUAUUAACCUCUUCUCGUUCGUGCUAACAACAACAUCUGUAUCUAAAUGUGCACAGCUGAGUAUAUGGAGUUAGUCGCAAUAUGUACAUAUGAUGAACAAAGAUCAUUCAUGAUCAUUCUGCCAAUGAUUGUGAUUUUUGUCAAAAAAAGGUUAAUAUAUCCGCAAAAAGUUCGGCAAGUUUUCGCAGUAGAGAAUGGCGGUUUCAGAUGCAUCGCGGCGGAGAGAUGCACUUACCGGCCACAAACUAUAAUCAUUUCAAACUGCCAUCGGCAUCUCCGGGAGCAGCACCCCAUUGAAUUUAAUAUUUUAAAUUUCGGAAAACGGCUGAUGAAGAUGACGAAGUAAAAAACCUUUUGCGCCGCAAAAGAAUUAAACACGCUGGGCAACCGGAUGAGUCCACGAUAGUGAGAGUGCACCGGCGGAAAAUUAUUGGUGGGCUGAUUAAACUAUGUACACUAGGGUGCCAAUCAUCGUAUGGAAACCGAACUAUCACGCAAGGAGGGGGUACGUGAAAUUUCGGUUUUAGAUUUUUUUUUAUGCCAAAUGACCUAAAAACGCAUGCAACGUCGAGAACUGGUGUCAUCUAAAAAAAAAUUUUUUUUUUUGCAAAAAUCGACUCUUAAAACAUUUAGAAUUUAUUCAAUGAAAUUGAUCGCUAGUCUCUCGUAAUAGCCUGUAUAAUGAUAUACACUAUAACUAGCAUCGAAUACAUUAUGUUUCAUUAGGGUGGCUCAUUUAUUCGGCAUAGGGUGGUUCAUAAUAUUGUGUAAAAAUGAGUAUGAAAUGAAAAAAAUCACUUUUCACUCAAUACCAAGAGAAAAAUUCCUGAAAAUAUAAUAUUUGUUACAUCAUUGUCCUUAGGGUGUAACGAGCACCUUGGAACUAUUUAUUUUCAAAUGUGAAUCUUACUAAUGGUAAAGUUGAUCACAUAUGUUUUCUUAGUUAAUUUAGUUUGCAUUACUCAAAAUGCAUGCUAGUGUUAAUUUUAUAAUUUAUACGCUUCAAUAUUUUUUUAAAAAUAAUCUGCUGUUGAGAUUACCGCAACAGGCUCAAAAAGUAGUAAUUGGCAUAACAUUUGACCAGAGCAAUGAGUUCCCUUACGUUCGCUUACGUUGCUUUGCAUGCAUCGCUGGCGGUCGAAGAGUAGAUUGACCCAGCCGAAUAAGUCUAUUGACCUAUUGCGUCACUACGAGAGUUUCCUUUUUCUCUCUAUCCUCGGGGAUGGGAUACUGGAUGCUGGGUGGAAGAUGCACGCUAGAAGAAGAUGACUUUGCCGAAACUGCAACCUUCGGGUUUUAGCGUGGGCAAUGAUCCUCGCGAGACAGGUUCCGGUAACGAAGUUACCGUGGACGGUUGAUCUGAGGGACCCCAAUGCCUGAUCUUUCAUUCUUAGCUGACAAGUGCAUGAGGCAGGAUCAACCUGCAUUUUAGAGUUCCGCGCGUGUACUAAGACAGGUGGUUUUUAAACCAGUGGUAUCCCCUAAUUAGUGUAUUAAAGACAGUGUUUUUUCCUUAGAUAGCCUUUUCCCGGUAAAUAGCUAGGCAAAUCAGUGCAUGUGCGAAAUAGGAGAAAGUGUGCAAAGUGAGCAAGGAGGAUCGCUGCUAGUAAUCAUCCACUACACUUCCGUCAGCCCCAGCAGCAUUCCUAUGCAACACGAGCAUCGUCAAACGUUUAUGCCUGUACGGAACAGGCCAAAGGACCAAUAAUCGGCACCACUACCCUUGAUGAUCUCACCCGUCUAGUGAUCGAAGCGCACGCUGUGCGCUGCCAGACAGCAGAGCAGACAACCGAGGAGACAAUAGGCGAGACGACAGAGUGACAACCCCCGUUUUUGACCCAGCGUGGCGCUGGUAGCGUACCGAAAGGAAUUCGGUAAAGGAGCACCCGCGUGGCGCGGAGCAACAAGUGAAGCCGCAGAGCAGCAGUAAGCAGGCAUGGCGGCUACGCCAUGGUAAAACCUCAUGUAAGACCGGCUAUGAGUGAG